CCUUGGAUUCAUAAUCUCACAACUGAGAAGGGUCCCUCCACACUCUUGGAACUGUACACCCACUGGAAAACCUUAAGAUUACUUACUGGCUAAACAGAAGUAUCUGUGCAGCUGGUGGCACUUGUUGCCCAUGGAGAACUACAUCAUAGUGCAUAUUAUAGAGAUUCAGUUGUACGGGAUUAUUGAAGAGACUGUUUAAUUAAAUCUCCUAGAUGCUACUUCAUAAAGAAGACCUGUGAUUGUGAACUGGGUGAGUUCAUUUCUAAGAAGUGGG